AAUUUUAUGAUUUGUUUUUUUUUUAUCAUUUUGAUCCUUCACAAUUUCUAGGCUUUGCAACCAAGGACGUGGAAGCCUUUCAGAUUCAUACCAAACUGGUUCUGUUUAUAUUGUUUCAAUACAAAAAUAAUAAGAAAAAUGCAAAAGGAUAGCAGUGCACCAAAUACACCUACUAGUGCUCGAGCUCGGCACCGGAGACGGUCCAAUGAGUUUCCUGCUGAUACAAGCAAAACAAACGGACAUCCUUUACUUGCAAAAGAUCACAACAAAUACCGGUCAAUGUGGGUUCGAGCAUGUUCGUCUAUAUGGAUGCUGGGGCUCUUCCUCUUGGUUAUCUAUAUGGGUCAUCUUUAUAUCUUGGCCAUGGUUGUUAUUAUCUAAAUAUUCAUGGCA